rnacentral:rRNA from 1 species
AGUGAACGCUGGCGGCGUGCUUAACACAUGCAAGUCGAACGAGAACGGAUUAUAGCUUGCUAUAAUUGUCAGCUAAGUGGCGCACGGGUGAGUAAUGUAUAGGUAAUAUGCCUCUUACUAAGGGAUAACAAAUGGAAACGUUUGCUAAUACCUUAUACUCCUCAUUACCAGAAGUUAAUACGUGAAAGAUUUAUUGGUAAGAGAUUAGCCUGUAUUGUAUCAGUUAGUUGGUGGGGUAAUGGCUUACCAAGACUAUGACACAUAACUGGUUUGAGAGGAUGAUCAGUCACACUGGAACUGAGACACGGUCCAGACUCCUACGGGAGGCAGCGGUGGGGAAUAUUGCACAAUGGACGGAAGUCUGACGCAGCAACGCCGCGUGGAGGAUGACACAUUUCGGUGCGUAAACUCCUUUUAUAUGAGAAGAUAAUGACGGUAUUAUAUGAAUAAGCACCGGCUAACUCCGUGCCAGCCGCCGCAUAA